CAUUGACUCUGAAAACCUUCCCAUUCCAUUGAGGUGUUCCCAUCUCUGUAGUACUGCCUUCCUGGCACUGCUGAGUUGGAAGAGUUUCCAUCUUCCAGAGCAUUAGCAGAGGUAAUGAGAUCAUUGUUGAUUAGAUCAAGCUUUUUUUGGCUUUGUGGUUUUGCUCUGUGGUUUUGCUCUUUGUCUGAGCCCUUUCUGAUACAAAUUGCCUAUCUUGUGACCCAAGAGUUUUAUGUGCAGAAAUCAGCUUGGUUUGAGUGAGCUUUAGAGCUUUGUAUCUGCACACUGAUGGCAGGACCCCAUCAGCCUUCACAGCUUCUUGGAACAGUUAUUUGGUUGCAUUCAUUUGAGGCAAGUGAUUUUCCUCUGGGUUCUUUGGUCUCUGGCCUGGGCUGGAUCAUCAGCCUGGCUUAGCUUAUGCCUCUUGAUCUCUUCAGGCUUCAUUCGUUUUUUUAGAGAAAUAGGAUGUUGUGAUCACAGUUCUUGAAUCUUAAAAUCUCUAGUUUCUCUGGAACUGGCUGUUUUGUAUUCAUUUUGGCCGUUAGUCUUAGAAAAUGCUCUUGGGGAAUGUGGUAGUGCACUGCCUCCUGCAGUAGCACAUUGCUGGUGGCACCUUGACAGGUAUUAUCAUUUACACUUGCAUAUGCAACACAAAAUCUUGCAGCCUGCUUAUUCAUCGUUCAUAUGAGUACAUCAGAGUCAUUUAGGACUUCAAAUCCUUGCCUUUCCUUGAAAAAAGAGUAGGCAAACACCAGUUAAUGUCACUGCUGCACAAUGUUAUGAAUUGCCUGAGCAGAUGUUAGUGAGAUGACUUGCAUUUUAUUUCAUCUGCAGGAUGUUCAGGUUGAUCCAUCUCUGAACAGUUUCUCUCUCCUUAAUGGCCAGUUUGGAAAAUAUGAUGAUCUGUUCCACAAUAGCUAGGAUUUCUUUUUAUUCUGCAUGCUUAAGAGAAGCAUCUAAAAUAUAGCAGGAAGAACUGAAUUAAAAAAAAAAAAGCCUUACUGCUAAAGUCAAGAAACAUGGAUGUUCAUUACUUACCAUGGACCAAACCUCCAAACUGGUAUUCAAAAACUGAAGUGUAAAAAUAGCUGAAAUCAGCUCUGGCAGUCUGUCACAUUUCCUUUAGUGAGCUGAAGCAGUAGCUCAGGUGAUCACCUGCAUUCUUGUUUCCAGAUGCAGUCCUAAGUUUUAGCUUACAGAUAAUUGAUGCAAAGAGUUGUAGCUUAUUUUGAAAAAAAAAGACCCAGUAAGGAUCUUUCCAGGUCUCCUGCAGUAACUUGGGAUAUUUGGCGGCAUGUAAAAUAGGUGACUUUGUUUCACUUUCCUUUGGUUUUAUAUAGAGGCAGGAGGAUGGUGUAACACCUGCUCGUGCUCACUGCAGUUCUGUAAACAGUGUGUGUGAGAGUUGAUUAAGUAUUUGCAUAUUAAUAUUACUACCUAGCAAUCUCAAAUUAUUCACCACAAAGAGCCUUUCCUGAGAUUGUCAAUUCUAUUUUAUUCAUGUUUGCUGAUUUUGUAUCUGCUGAAUGCCAGCUCUCUCUUUUCCAUGGGGUAGGAUUGCAGGAUCUGUGCUCUUUGUUUUAAUAACUUUCUCCUCUUUGAAAUGCCAUUAUUUCUGGUCUGUUUUUAGAUGAUGAAGGAUAGACACUGUGAUGGGCACUAAAGCAUGGACUUGAAGUGUGCACUCUGGUGGCAGCAUAUCCAUCAGCUGUGUUGCAACAGAGAAGGAAAUGUGAAAUAUCCCAGGGAGUGGCUGGCUGCCUGAAGGACCCCAGUAUCUGCCUUUCAUGGCAAGUGACCUGAGCAUUGAUGUUCCCAUGGUAGCAGUUCAGGUGGGUGUGUUACCUGUAUUUGCAGACUUUCCUUGUUCUCUGCAUUGUACCAGAAACUGCACGUGCCUUUGUACAAUCUGUUUGGCCCUCUUGUAAUGUCUGGUUUUCCUAAAUAAACAUCUUUUGAAGUC